rnacentral:lncRNA from 1 species
ACUGCUAUCUGAGCUUCACACAGCUGAUGUCCUCUCUCACGACUCUCUGUCUCGACCUCUCUUCAUGGUUCUAUUGCCCAUAGGGCUCUUAAAGCCCUAAAACCCAAACCUAAUCGAAGAGCUACUCCUGAUCGGACUCCAAAAAUGUCUGGACCAUUCGAUCAACACCGCAAGUGACUCUGCCCGUCAGAUCAUGCUUGAUCAAGCA